GAUGAAGAACUUAGCGAAAUGCGAUAAGUAAUGCGAAUUGCAGAAUCCGUGAGUCAUCGAAUCUUUGAACGCACAUUGCGCCCCUUGGUUAUUCCGAAGGGCAUGCCUGUUCGAGCGUCAUUAUCACCCCUCAAGCCCUGGCUUGGUGUUGGACUUUAGUUAUAGCUUUGCCUAUCAACUGGUCUCAAAGAUAGUGACGGCGCCCCAGAGGGAACCGGGUACGAGGAGCUUUUUACUAAGCAUGUAUCUGGGACGACUCUGGGCGACGGUCUUGUUAUACUUUUUACCUAAGUGUUGACCUCGGAUCAGGUAGGAAUACCCGCUGAACUUAAGCAUAUCAAUAAGCGGAGGA
rnacentral:misc_RNA from 1 species